GUAAAUUUCAGCUCUCCCUCACCCCAAGCACGCUGCAGACAUCCCGCCUCUCUCACCACCAACGGUGAUCUCUCCCUCCUAUAACAGUCACUGCACAGCCUCCUCCCUCUUCAUGCCGACAACAAGAAACCGACCACCCACCAACACAACCCCUCCGAAAAUAUCAUAGAUCAGAUUUCACAGCAGACUUGACAGCAAACCGAAGCCUCCCUCUCCAGCGCCGUCACUAACAGCCACUGGGGAACCAUAGUUUUCAUUUUGGUUUUUUUUUUUUUACUAUUCUCAUACCCUUUUUAAAAAUAAAAUUACUCUCAUACCCUCUCCAGCGCCGUCACUAACAGCCACUGGGGAACCAUAGUCCUCCCAACAAGUGUCUUCAUUUUGGUUUUGAUUGUUUAAAAUUAGUCUUCUUUUUUAUCGUGCUCGAUCCACUAAUUGUUUAUAUUAUUAUUAUUAUUAUUUAUUUGUAGCUUUUACUCCUUCCCCAGCCAAAUUGUCUCACUUUUUUCUCUACUUUGGAUUUUAUUAUUUAAAAAUAGAGUUUCCCUUUCCUUUAUAUCGUGCUGAUCCACUGAUUGAUUUUUGAUUUUCUGUUUUUCAAUUCCAUUCCUGACUCGGCACCUGUCAUGUGAAUCUUAGCAUCUCCUGCUACCCUGUCCUUGUCAUUGAUCCUGGUUCAGUGUUAUCCUCCAUUCCUUACUCAGCACCUGUCAUAUGAAUCCUAGCAUCUCCUCCUUGGAGCUGGAAAUUCUUGUGACAAAACACUGCAUAUCUGGUUGCUGUCUUCUUAGAAUUAUAAGGCACGUUUGCAAUGUGGCUGGCAACAUAAUUCAUAAUAUCUGCAGAGUUAUGUUCAAGGAUGAAAUAUUCACUAACAUCCAUAUAGGUUGCAAUUUGGUCAAUAAUUCUUUAAUUGACUUACAAACGAUAAGAAUUUUAUCCUUAAACAACCCAUUACCUUUAGGCGCUAUCACAAACCCGUCUCUUUUCUGCUUCUUGUGUCAUGAUCAAUGAGUUUGGGCAAGCCACAGCUCCUCUCUUCAACCCUUGCAGCUGGUACAUAGAUCUCUUGGGAAUGGGGAGACAUGGUUGGUUUCUCCCUGCUACUGGAGUACUGGCCACCAUUAUCCAAUUGAAACCCGAAAUUCUCACACCAUUAUAAACGAUGCUAUCAUAAUCAUGGCUGUUGUUGCUGUGCUCGUCCAUGUUGUAUGCAGUGCAUUUGAAGAUAUACUUGAAGCUGGCCACUUCAAAUCAAUUGCUGCCGGCACCAGUCAACUGGCCAGAGCUCUAGCCAUUACUCUACUACUCAUAAUCUGCGUCCCAAAAAUUUGGUGGUUUCUUCUUUUGGCAUGGGUGUUGUUCUUUAUAUGGGUAACAUAUACUUUACGUGAGGAAUUGUUAAAAUUUUUUGUUUAAUUUAGUUUGUUAAUGUUAAUUUUUUUAUUUA